GAUCAUGGCUCAGGAUGAACGCUAGCUACAGGCUUAACACAUGCAAGUCGAGGGGCAGCAUGGUCUUAGCUUGCUAAGGCCGAUGGCGACCGGCGCACGGGUGAGUAACACGUAUCCAACCUGCCGUCUACUCUUAGACAGCCUUCUGAAAGGAAGAUUAAUACAAGAUGGCAUCAUGAGUUCACAUGUUCACAUGAUUAAAGGUAUUCCGGUAGACGAUGGUG
rnacentral:rRNA from 1 species